rnacentral:rRNA from 1 species
AGAGUUUGAUCCUGGCUCAGGACGAACGCUGGCGGCGUGCUUAACACAUGCAGGUCGAACGAAAAGACGGAAAGAGCUUGCUCUUUCCGGAAUUGAGUGGCAAACGGGUGAGUAACACGUAAACAACCUGCCUUCAGGAUGGGGACAACAGACGGAAACGACUGCUAAUACCGAAUAGGUUCCAAGGGCCGCAUGGCCCAUGGAAGAAAAGGUGGCCUCUACCUGUAAGCUAUCGCCUGAAGAGGGGUUUGCGUCUGAUUAGCUGGUUGGAGGGGUAACGGCCCACCAAGGCGACGAUCAGUAGCCGGUCUGAGAGGAUGAACGGCCACACUGGAACUGAGACACGGUCCAGACUCCUACGGGAGGCAGCAGUGGGGAAUCUUCCGCAAUGGGCGAAAGCCUGACGGAGCAACGCCGCGUGAGUGAUGACGGCCUUCGGGUUGUAAAACUCUGUGAUCCGGGACGAAAAGGCAGAGUGCGAAGAACAAACUGCAUUGACGGUACCGGAAAAGCAAGCCACGGCUAACUACGUGCCAGCAGCCGCGGUAAUACGUAGGUGGCAAGCGUUGUCCGGAAUUAUUGGGCGUAAAGCGCGCGCAGGCGGCUUCCCAAGUCCCUCUUAAAAGUGCGGGGCUUAACCCCGUGAUGGGAAGGAAACUGGGAAGCUGGAGUAUCGGAGAGGAAAGUGGAAUUCCUAGUGUAGCGGUGAAAUGCGUAGAGAUUAGGAAGAACACCGGUGGCGAAGGCGACUUUCUGGACGAAAACUGACGCUGAGGCGCGAAAGCGUGGGGAGCAACAGGAUUAGAUACCCUGGUAGUCCACGCCGUAAACGAUGGAUACUAGGUGUAGGAGGUAUCGACCCCUCUGUGCGGAGUUAACGCAAUAGCAU